GGGAAAGUGGCGUUGUGGUCACACGUUCGCUUCAUAAGCGGAUUGUCAUGGGUUCGAUUCUCAUCCCCA
rnacentral:tRNA from 1 species